rnacentral:rRNA from 1 species
CCUACGGGACGCACCAGUGGGGAAUAUUGCACGAUGGGCGCAAGCCUGAUGCAGCCAUGCCGCGUGUAUGAAGAAGGCCUUCGGGUUGUAAAGUACUUUCAGCGGGGAGGCAGGCGAUAAGGUUAAUAACCUUGUCGAUUGACGUUACCCGCAGAAGAAGCACCGGCUAACUCCGUGCCAGCAGCCGCGGUAAUACGGAGGGUGCAAGCGUUAAUCGGAAUUACUGGGCGUAAAGCGCACGCAGGCGGCCUGUCAAGUCGGAUGUGAAAUCCCCGGGCUCAACCUGGGAACUGCAUUCGAAACUGGCAGGCUGGAGUCUUGUAGAGGGGGGUAGAAUUCCAGGUGUAGCGGUGAAAUGCGUAGAGAUCUGGAGGAAUACCGGUGGCGAAGGCGGCCCCCUGGACAAAGACUGACGCUCAGGUGCGAAAGCGUGGGGAGCAAACAGGAUUAGAUACCCCUGUAGUC